rnacentral:rRNA from 1 species
CACGUAGUUAGCCGGUGCUUCUUAUACAGGUACCGUCACUUGCGCUUCGUCCCUGUCGAAAGGAGUUUACAACCCGAAGGCCGUCAUCCCCCACGCGGCGUCGCUGCAUCAGGCUUCCGCCCAUUGUGCAAUAUUCCCCACUGCUGCCUCUCGUAGGAGUCUGGGCCGUAUCUCAGUCCCAAUGUGGCCGUACACCCUCUCAGGCCGGCUACCCGUCGACGCCUUGGUAGGCCAUUACCCCCACCAACAAGCUGAUAGGCCGCGAGCUCAUCUUGCACCGAAAAAACUUUCCAACCACCACACUAAAGGCAGUUCCUAUCCGGUAUUAGACCCAGUUUCCCAAGCUUAUCCCAGAGUACAAGGCAGAUCACCCACGUGUUACUCACCCGUUCGCCACUCGAGCACCCCUGCAAGCAGAGGCCUUUCCGUCGACUUGCAUGUGUUAAGCACGCCGCCAGCGUUCGUCCUCGACGCCGAGGACGUACAAACUACUCUGACGUAC